UUAUAUUCAUCAGAUUCAUUAGGUUGGGCAUGAUUUAAUGUUCACACACCAUUUUUCAAGACGCGUCUUUUCUUUCUUUUGACUCAUGCGCUUGAAUUUGCGCUGGGACUUCUUGUUGCCACCUUCUGCCUUCCGGUGUUGGGAUUUUUAUUGUUUCCUGCUGGGGAUUCUUGUUGUAACCUUCUGCCUUCCGGUGGGGUUACUGACUUCAAAAUCUGCAGUAUAAGACUGAAAAGUAUUCCUCUCGUUAUACAGGUGGGCGCCUGGACAUGAAAUGAAAAUGUAUACCCGCAUUAUACUGGUGGGCGACCUGGAAAUGAAAAACUGAAAUGUAUGCCCGCAUUAUACUGGUGGGCGACCUAGAACAGAAAUGAAAAGACAGAAAUGUAUUCCCGCAUUAUACUGGUGGGCGACCUAGAACAUGAAAUGAAAACAUAAAUGCAUACCCGCAUUAUACUGGUGGGCGACCUAGAACAUUAAAUGAAAAGAGAAAUUCAUACCCGCAUUAUACUGGUGGGCGACCUAGAACAUGAAAUGAAAAGAGAAAUGCAUACCCGCAUUAUACUGGUGGGCGACCUAGAACAUGAAAUGAAAAGAGAAAUGCAUACCCGCAUUAUACUGGCGGGCGACCUAGAACAUGAAAUGAAAACAUAAAUGCAUACCCGCAUUAUACUGGCGGGCGACCUAGAACAUGAAAUGAAAAGAGAAAUGCAUACCCGCAUUAUACUGGUGGGCGACCUAGAACAUGAAAUGAAAAGAGAAAUGAAUACCCACAUUAUACUGGUGGGCGACCUAGAACAUGAAAUGAAAACAUAAAUGCAUACCCGCAUUAUACUGGUGGGCGACCUAGAACAUGAAAUGAAAACAUAAAUGUAUACCCGCAUUAUACUGGUGGGCGACCUAGAACAUGAAAUGAAAACAUAAAUGUAUUCCCGCAUUAUACUGGUGGGCGACCUAGAACUUAAAUGUAUUCCCGCAUUAUACUGGUGGGCGACCUAGAACAUGAAAUGAAAAGAGAAAUUCAUUCCCGCAUUAUACUGGUGGGCGACCUAGAGCUUAAAUGUAUUCCCGCAUUAUACUGGUGGGCGACCUAGAACUUAAAUGUAUUCCCGCAUUAUACUGGUGGGCGACCUAGAGCUUAAAUGUAUU
rnacentral:lncRNA from 1 species